AGACAGAGGAUGCAAGCGUUAUCCGGAAUGAUUGGGCGUAAAGCGUCUGUAGGUGGCUUUUUAAGUUCGCUGUCAAAUACCAGGGCUCAACCCUGGACAGGUGGUGAAAACUACUAAGCUAGAGUACGGUAGGGGCAGAGGGAAUUUCCGGUGGAGCGAUGAAAUGCGUAGAGAUCGGAAGGAACACCAACGGCGAAAGCACUCUGCUGGGCCGACACUGACACUGAGAGACGAAAGCUAGGGGAGCGAAUGGGAUUAGAGACCCCAGUGGUCCUAGCCGUAAACGAUGGAUACUAAGUGGCUGUGCGUAUCGACCCGUGCAACGCUGUAGCUAACGCGUUAAGUAUCCCGCCUGGGGAGUACGUUCGCAAGAAUGAA
rnacentral:rRNA from 1 species